GAGUUUGAUCAUGGCUCAGGAUGAACGCUGGCGGCGUGCUUAACACAUGCAAGUCGAACGAACCUUCGGGUUAGUGGCGGACGGGUGAGUAACGCGUGAGAAUCUGCCCUCAGGAGGGGGAUAACAGCUGGAAACGGCUGCUAAUACCCCAUAUGCCGCGAGGUGAAAUGAAUUUCGCCUGAGGAUGAGCUCGCGUCUGAUUAGCUAGUUGGUGUGGGUAAUGGCUCACCAAGGCAUCGAUCAGUAGCUGGUCUGAGAGGAUGAUCAGCCACACUGGGACUGAGACACGGCCCAGACUCCUACGGGAGGCAGCAGUGGGGAAUUUUCCGCAAUGGGCGAAAGCCUGACGGAGCAACGCCGCGUGAGGGAUGAAGGCCUCUGGGCUGUAAACCUCUUUUAUCAAGGAAGAAGAUCUGACGGUACUUGAUGAAUAAGCCACGGCUAAUUCCGUGCCAGCAGCCGCGGUAAUACGGGAGUGGCAAGCGUUAUCCGGAAUUAUUGGGCGUAAAGCGUCCGCAGGCGGCCCUUCAAGUCUGCUGUUAAAAAGUGGAGCUUAACUCCAUCAUGGCAGUGGAAACUGAGGGGCUUGAGUGUGGUAGGGGCAGAGGGAAUUCCCGGUGUAGCGGUGAAAUGCGUAGAUAUCGGGAAGAACACCAGUGGCGAAGGCGCUCUGCUGGGCCAUCACUGACGCUCAUGGACGAAAGCCAGGGGAGCGAAAGGGAUUAGAUACCCCUGUAGUCCUGGCCCGUAAACGAUGAACACUAGUGUCGGGGGAAUCGACCCCCUCGGUGUCGUAGCCAACGCGUUAAGUGUUCCGCCUGGGGAGUACGCACGCAAGUGUGAAACUCAAAGGAAUUUGACGGGGGCCCGCACAAGCGGUGGAGUAUGUGGGUUUAAUUCGAUGCAACGCGAAGAACCUUACCAGGGUUUGACAUCCUGCGAAUCUCUGGGAUCGAGAGAGUGCCUUCGGGAGCGCAGUGACAGNNGGUGCAUGGCCUGUCGUCAGCUCGUGUCNUUGAGAAUG
rnacentral:rRNA from 1 species